AAGAAGGUCAACCCUGGAAAAAACGGGACCAGCUAGCUGAGGAUUUAUCCGUAGAACAAAAAAUUCACAGAAAGGUCUUGCUGACACAGACUCAUCUAGAAUUCAGCUGUACCAACCUAUGAAUAAAGUACAAAGCAGCAGGAGAAUUCCUCAACGGUUCUUCUCACUUACUUCUAUUAUAACAAAAACCUGAUUAGUUUAUCAGACAAGUCAGCUCUGAUGACUUCCUGCCAUCGUGGAAUGAAAUUUCACAGCACAUUGCCGAGUUUCGAUAGUCAUCUCUGUUCUCUGGUCUUACUGUGUGUGUCAUAUCACAUAAUUGUCAGGACCUAAGAUGUCUGUCCCUGUUAAGAAGCAUCAUGAAGAUGAAAACUGUAAUGAGGACAGCCCCACCAACUUAGCGAACCUAGACCUUGUGCAGGGGAGCCAGCCCCCUGGGCCAGGCCGUUACAAACCUCGACUUGCUGGUAGUUCCACCCAUUUUCCAUCGUCCUCCCUGAUCUACUUUGUGAUGGGAGCCAAUAAAGAGAAAGAG
ensembl:lncRNA